rnacentral:lncRNA from 1 species
AAAGUGUCAAUCCUAAGAAAAUGAAAAUGCUGAGGGAAAAGGUAAGUCAUUUUAAACUUUAUUGGCAUGAUCUUGUUAGCGGGUCUAAUGCAACCUCAAUUACAGUGAUUAAAGCAGUGAAUAACACAACACCAUAUUUUGGUAUGAUAAAUAUAAUUGAUAACCCGUUAACCGUUGGGCCUAAUUUGAGCUCAAAAACAGUUGGAAAGGCCCAAGGGCUUUAUGCAUCUACGGGACAAAAAGAUGUUGAAAUAUUGAUGGUUAUGAAUUUUGCAUUCACUGAUGGGAAGUACAAUGGUAGCACAUUCACUGUAUUAGGACGAAACAAUGUUCCUGCUAAGGUAAGGGAGAUGCCAAUAAUCGGUGGCAGUGGGCUUUUCCGAUUUGCUAGAGGUUAUGUUCUAGCAACAACUUAUGAGCUCAGCAACACUGGAGAUGCCAAUAUUGAAUACAAUGCCUAUGUAAUACAUUAUUAAUGUGUGUGUGUGUGUGUUUUUUUUUUUCUAAUUUUUCUAUGGAGCUUUGGUCCACAAUAGUGAUAUACUUGAAUAAUCGUAUGCUCCCAACGUUAACUAAGUGGGAUUCUCUAGUUUUGUUUAGUUUGAAUAAAUUAGGUGGUUUUUACUUCACCUAAUUGAAUGUAAGCAUACAAUAAUAAAAUAAAAUGCUUAUUUACAUGGAUUAAUUAUUUUCUUGAAAUUUGUUAAACUAUACCUUAUUCUAAAAAUCAACAUUCAAAACUGGAUCGGAUAUUGAAUCGAAAAAAUUACCAAUUCACAAUUCACAAAUCGGACCGAUGGUCCAACCAUGAUCAAACCGUCAUAAAUAUAUAUAUUUUAUAUUUUAUUUAAAUUAAAUAAUAUUUAUAAUAUUAUUUAUUUAUUAUUAUAUAAAUGUAUUAAUGGUUUAAAUUUAUUAAACAAAAUAUAUAUAAUAUUUAAAUAUGAAAUAUAUUCAAAAUCGUAAAUACAAAAAAAGUCGUAAUUAAAUAUGAAAACAAAUUGAAAAUGAAAAAAAAACACGUGAUUUAUAUAUAUAUAUAUAUAUAUAUAUAUAUAUAUAUAUAUAUAUAUAUAUAUUAUUUUUUGAAAUAGGCUAUGUACUUAUUUUCUGUUAAAAAUAAAAAGGAUGCAGCAUAGUGGAGUAGUAAUGCUCGUUAUGAUAUUCGUCACCGAUUAUCGGUCGGUAUUUGUCGGUAAAUUUACCGAUUUUUCUGGAAAUUUCCCGAUAUUUCCUACCAGUCCAGCCCGCGCACAGGAUACAAAAUCUGUCCAAUUUUUUUUUUAAAAAAAACAUAAGGCGUUAUUUGGUAAUCUGAUCAUGAUUUGCAGGCAAAGGUUGUGUUUUUCCGCCUGGCUCAAAAAUUGUGGAUUUAGGGUUCGUGAAAUUUAAAUCGAAUGGCACAAAAGCAAAGAGACACCUUAGAACAGAUCCAGAAAACACAGGGAGCAAAAAAAAAUUUUGGUUUUCCUUGGGGGUUUUGCAUGGAUUUUCUCAGAAAUCAAACGAGGAUGAAUUUUCCCGGAAAUCGAAUGAGGGGUGGAUUUUCUUGGGAAUCAAACGGGGGUUGCAAAAAAAAAAAAAUAAUAACAUGAUUAGAUUAGUACCUGCAAGGAUUGAGAGUGGCAGAGGAAAAUAGGGCCUUCUCAGGGAUUCUCUCGUCUGGAGGGCAACUUCAGAAAAGGGCUUCUUGAUGCCCGAGUGAGAAAGAAGCAUAUCAAGUGAGCAAUUUUCCGUGGGUGGCCCUUUUUAUUUUUAGAUUUAGUAGAGAUAAAAUAAAAAAAAAAAAAAAAAAAAAAAGGAAGCAUAUCAAGUGAGCAAUUUUCCUCUCCCUAUAUAAAUAAUUAUUAAUUAUCCAUCUUUAUUUUGAUUAAAUCACUACCAUGGAUUAAAAUUUUGGUUUUUAUCGAUCAUAUUUUAUGAAUUAAAAUUAAUUUGAUAAGAUAAAUUAUUAAUAAUUUUAAUUAUUUAAAUAAAUUAAUAUUAAUAAAAAAAAGUUGUUAUCAUAUUUUUAAUAAAAUUUUAGAAAUUAAAUCUCAAAUAAAAUAUUUUAUAUAAAUUAUUUUAAUUUUUCAUUUAAAAUGUAAUAAAACAUGUUUUAAUAAAAGUAUUUUAAAAUAAAUAUUAUCAUCAACAAAAUGGCUCUCUUCGUCUAAUAAUAUGAUAGAAUUACAUCAAUAUUCAUUUUGAUACUAUGACUAUUGCAAUGUCAUAUGUAUUAUAUUUAUGUAUAAAUUGUUUUUAUUUAAUAAAAUCAAAUAUUUUUUAACUCAAUUCUAAUUUUAUACACUUCCAAAAUUCAUAUUUAUUACUCUUAAAAUUCAAAUAUCAAAUUUAUCGAUAUAUCUCUAUCUACUGAUAUAUAUAUAUUUUUAUCAUAUUUAUGUCAAUUAUACUUACAAAAUGACUUUAAAAUAUGUGUAUUUUCUUUUUCUUUUUUCUUUUUUAUUUAUCAUUUUUUAGAGUUUUUGCAAGCAUUCCCAUAAAUUUUAAAUAAUUUCCACUUCACCGAUAUUUGUGAAAAAAAAUAUUUACCGAUAUUUUUAAUAUAUUCGCAAAAUCGAAGUAUCGAUAUUUUCAUCAUUGACCUAAUCCCACAUCGGAAGUAAGAGGAAAAAUAAAGUGCUUUAUAAACCUCUUCCCAUGUAACACAAGUUGGGUAAUCAAGUCAAGUGGUUGUUGGGCCUUAUGGCACAACCCCUGAUUAGGGGUCCAUUUUGCAAGAUGGGUGUGGGCUGUCAAUGUUGAGUCUGGGAGAGGAUAUAGGCCAUUUUGCCCAAAAAAAAAGGGUAGGCAAACAAUGUUGGCCGAAAAAAAUAAAAGUUGGGGUGUUGAACAUUGAUAACCGACCUAAAAGGAGGAAUCGGACAAGAAAGGUCAUCGAUUGACGGCGAUUUUUAAAAUAUUGCUAAAAAUAAUAAUAAUAAUAAUAAUAAAUUGGAGAGAAGUAGAUUUCAAAGCUCAUAUCAAUAAAGUUGAAGUAUAUCACUUUUCUAUUCAACUUAAGCUAGUUUUUAUGGGUUGAUUUGAUAUGUUUGAAUUAUCAUACAUAUGGCUUUUGAAAAUAAGGCUAACUGGGUGGACCUACCUUGACUUUGUUUACCAAGAAUGACAUAUUUCUUUGAUUUCACGUUACUCAACUUAUCUUGACCAAACUAAAACAUAUUCAACUUUGAAAUUUCACUAGUUUUUAGUCAUAUGUAAUGAUAAUGAAGUUAGAAAAUGCUAAAAAAAUUGAGUAGCAUUCUCAUUUACAAAAAUGCUUUUUAGAAAUGUUUUGAUAAAAAAUUUAUUUAGCUUGACGUGAUACAUAAGUUGACUUUUUCUUUUAUUUCACUUAAUAUAUGGUUUAAUUGAACAUUUUUCAAAAGAAGAUAUGAUUCUUAAACAACAACCUUUUCCCAUUAUUUACAAAUUCUACAAGGUCCAUGUUGGGAAUUGUCCCAAAUUCCUAAUUAGUAAAUAUUCCUUUUUGUAAAGAAUAUUAUAUAGAAUAUUUCUAGGUUGAUAUAUUAUUGUAAUAUUAGACUUCCUUAUAGAAUAAGGAAGGUUGUAGGAAAUAUCUCUAUAAAUAUUCUAGGUCAUGAGGGGAAAAAGUUAUGAGAUGGAGAUGGGCCUAUAGAGACUAUACGAGGUGGAUAGAGAUGUGAGGAAGAACGGGAGGUACCUGGUGGAGCGAGAGGGCUCGUAGUAAGGUAUGGAUACAAGGAGUGGGGAAACAUGGGAUGUUUCGGGAACCCAAUAGUUGUAUCUGGUUCUAUCCUCUGUAAUAUUCUCUAUUGUAUAGUGAAAUUAUUCUCUCUCAUCCGUGGACGUAGGCAUGGUUGGCCGAACCACGUUAAAACCUCGUAUGUGUGAUUGUUUUAUCUUUGUGUUAUUGAACUAACAUUGUUGGCAUCAAAGCUUUCGUUGGCACUACAGUCCAUAGCUAGGGUUUGAAUCAAAAUGGGCUAAAAAUUAAUGUCAUCUCAAUUUUGCUUCAUUUUUGGGACAAGCAAUCAUGACAAUCUUGAAUGGAGUUCAUGUGUCUAACAUAUCAACGUCAGAAGAAAAAUAACUAUAAAAAGAACAAGCUUCUAAUAAUUUUUAUAUCUUAUAUACAAAUUAUUAUUAUUAUUUUAUAAUUUUUAAAAAAUAUAUGAAAUACAUUCAAAUGGACACUUAAUUAUAAAUAAAUGAUAACUAUUCUACCAUUUCUCUAAUACAAAAAAAAAAAAAAAAAGGCGUUUGAAUCUUUUUAAAUGAAUUUAGCAUUCACAAAGCUUUAAAUCAUUAUUUUUUCUACUUGAUUGUGUAAUAGUAGAUGAUGAAAAAUUAACAAUAAAUGAUUAAUUAUCAUCAUAAGUUUAAACUUUAUCAAUUGUCCUUCUAUUAAAGCAAGGUGACAAAUUGAAUGUGAUUGAGGUUGUGAGACCCAUUAAUGUAGAGAGGAAUUCAAAAUCCUAAUAAAAAUGUAUUUCAAUUAAUAAUGAGUUUUUAAUUUAUAUUCUCAUUUUUAAUAAUUAAUUCACAUAAAAUAACAAAUUAAAAGUGAAAUGGGUUUUUCAAUUCAAAUUUUUUUUCAAUGUUUCAAUGACCGAAACAAUUCUAAUUUUUUUUUUUAAAUUUAAAAACAAGGUGUUGAGUAAAUUAACUUAAUUACCUAAUUUAAAUUAUUAAAUAAAUUAAAUAUAUUUAAUAAAAUAAUUUAAUAUUAAAAUUAUUUUUAAUUUUUACCUCUUUUUUCUCUUAAAAUAAUUAACAUAUAUGUCAGACCUACUUUGGCUCACAAGUUUGAAUGGUAAAAUGAUAAUAGGAUGAAGGGUUUUGGCCCACCACAAUAAACCUUAGGGCCCACUUUGAUUGCGGCUUGCCAACGCGGAACCAUAUUGUGGACCCCGCAUUUCGGCUCAUACGUUCCCCACUCGAUGGCGAGCUCGAUUUUUAUUUGAAAAUUUGAUUUUUUAUUUGAUUAAGAAAAUUGACUUGGAGUCGCCACUUAUUUUUGUUUUAUUUUAAAAGGGUAAACAAAAUAAGAAAGAAAAACCCUAAGUGUGACUCCUUAUUUUGGAAAAGGCGGUCUGUGAAAAACCGGAUCGGGUUCGGGGGUCAGGUUACUUAUCGGGAAGGUACGGUAAACACCGUAACACCCCUUUAAGUCCCUAAAGUCGGGUCUCUACUAAUAAAAUGAAGCAAUCAUGACAAUUGAUGAGAUAAUCAAUGAAUACUCAGAGUGAUCAUGCACAUGUGAGAAUCUAAACAUGCGUACAGAAAAUGACCCAAGCGGGUGUGGAUGCGUACCUGGGCAGUGAUCCAUAAAGCGCUAUCAAGAAGUGAGAUUAGUGCACAACUAAAGAAUAGUCACAUGCAUAUCAUAGAGCAGAAUAAAUCAUGUAUGGCAACCGAAUCAACCAAACAAUCCAUCAAUCAUAAAAUCUCAUAUGUUGGGCCCCCACCAAAGCCCAUUUCUAUUUUUGCAUGAAUUCAUCUCAUAAAUUCCAUUGUUUGGAAUUACGAAAAAUUCGUUCAUGCUUAUUAAAAAUAAGAGGAGCAGAAGAUUAUUUGAAAACCAGAAUGAAAUUAAGUUAUUUGAGAGAAAAUUGGAUUUUUGAAAUUCAUUUGAAAAAUUGGAGUCUCGAAAGUUAUUUAAAGAAAAUUGGGACUUUAGAAAUUAAAUUUUGAAAGAAAUUAGAAUUGGAAAUUAUUUAAGAAUUAGAAAUCAUGAAAAUUAAAUUACAUAAAUUGGAAUUUUGGAAAUUAUUUGAAGGUGGAAUUUUUCUAAAGAUAAAUAACUAAAAUGAUGAUGAUAAUAACAUUAAUAACAAUAAAUAAAUAAAUAAAUAAGUGGAAUAAUAAUAAUAAUAAUAAUGAAAACAAUAAUUAAAUAGAUGAACGUAAAUAGUGAAUUUUUUGAAAUUGGAAAUUAAAUUUGGAAAUUGGAAAAUUGGAAUUUCAGAGAUUGGGAAUUUAAUUUGGAAAUCGGAAUUUUUAAAGGAUUAUUUAAAGAUGAAAAUUUGUAAGAUAAAAUUAUUUGGGUGCUAGAUUUCCAUAAAUCAACUUUUAAAAUUUGAGGGCUUUGGAAAUGGGCCAAGGGUGAUAACCAAGCAAAUGGGAGCAUUUAGGAAUGGCCAAGGUGGAGAGAAAAUUUAAAAUGAUGCUCAUGGGCCUGGGCUUCAAAAUGCACUUUGAGAUGACCCUAAAAUGGAGAAAGGCCUUCAAAAUGCACUCACGGGCCUUGGGCUUCUCCAAUCCAUUGUGCAAGAAAAUAAGUUUAGUGGGCUUUGGAAGUGGGCCAAGAAAGGUGGCCAUGCAAAGGUGGGUUGAUGGGUAUUUGGAAAAUGGGUAUGUGGUGUAGAGAGAUAACCGGGUAGGGAGUAGAAAGUGAGUGAGUUAGUGAGAAAAUGAGGGUUGGUAGUGGUGGUGGUGUAGAGAGAGAAAACAGUGCAUGAAGGGUAUGUGGUGUAGAGAGAGAAAGGUGGUAAGAAGAAGAAAAAUGGGUAAGUGGAGGAUAGUUAUGCAUGGGAGGGUGGUGAUAUACAUGAGGGCAUGGAGGAUACGGGUAUGGAGGUUAGCAUGGGUAUGUGUUGAUGAAUGGCAACCAUGGGGGGUGGCCAUGCAUGCACGAUUCCCAUGCAUGUAGGUGGGUGGCUUUGGGAUUCCUAUGGGGAUGAGCAUGGCAUGGGUAUGGUGGGCAGCCGGGUAUGAAAAGGGAUGGUUUGCAUGGGUAUGAGGGGUGAUGGCUAUGGGUAUGGUGGGCAGCCGGGUAUGAAAAGGGAUGGUUUGCAUGGGUAUGAGGGGUGAUGGCUAUGGGUGCAUGCAUGGGAUGAGUGAUAUGGAACGAGCUAGUGAGAGAAAGGGUGAUGGGAAGGAAAAUGGGUAUGAAACAAUGGGUUUGAUGGCUAUGGGUGCAUGCAUGGGAUGAGUGACAUGGAACGAGCUAGUGAGAGAAAGGUGGCGACAUGCAUGGGUAAGGUGGGCAUAGAAGGGUGGUGGCAUGCAUGGUUCCAUGCAUGGCUUCAUGCAUGUGGAUAGGAAGUGGGCAUGAAGAACGUGGUGUAGAGAGAGAAAGGUGGCGACAUGCAUGGGGGGAAUAUGCACCGAAUAGUGAGAGGGAAUGGGUUUGGUGACGUUCAAGAAGAAAUGGAGGUGUGUAUGAGAGCUAUGGAUGGGUAUGAGAGCAAUGGGAAUGCAUGAGGGAUAGGUUGAUGGGCAUGGUGGAUGGCAAUGGGGAAACGGGCAGUGGGUUUCAUGCGCACAAGGAGUGAGAAAAGGUGGUGGCGGGUAGCAAAACAGUUCAAACGAGACAACAACAAUUAACAUCUCCACAUAGAGCAAAAUGAAGCAACAAAACUUCUCCAGGUUAAAACCAAUACUAAGAGGGAUCAUGAAUGAAACGAUCAGCAUGCAUACGAAGAAACCAGAAAUUGAUGUUACUCAUAUAUAAAUCUUGUUAUUCCUAAACAAGCAUAAAAGCGGAACUCGAACAACUCUAGGAGAAAGAGAAAACAGUAGUGGUAAAAAAAUAAAGCAAAGGAUACAUGAUGAGCUUACCUGGAUGCUCCCUCGAGCAAAAAUAUUUGGAUCUCACAAAACCUCCACCUUUGUUUAGCCUCCUCUCCGAGAAAAAGAAACUCCUCUAGCCUGCGUCCCCCUCCCCAGCUCCCAGAACCCCCUUUUCAUUCCUCUGUUGGUGUCUUCUUCAGCAAGCCAACCCUCCAUUUCCAGUUCAUCACGUCAGCAAGCAUGGGCUUGCAACCACUCUCCUCGCUGCCCACGUCUCUUGCCGUGUCUAUGAAGUUGUUCCCUCUUUAGAAAAGGGGUCCCCCCAUCCUACCAAAAAAAAGAAAAACACCCUUCUCUCGGGUGGUGGCAGCCAAAAUAAAAAUAAUCCCCUUGGUCUUGCAAGGAGGGGUCUACACAUAUUUUAAAAUUAAAUAAUUUUAAAUAUUAAUUAUGUAAAUGUAUGAAAUUAAACCAUCAUGGUACUAAGAAUAUUUCUAAAAAGUUUUAGAUGUUAUAUAUAUAUAUAUAUAUAUAUUUUAAAUUAUUAAAAAUAUUUAAAGGAAAUUUUCAAAAGAAAUUGAAAUUAAAAAAAAUUAUUAGAAAUUUUUAAUAAUUUUAAUUAUUUCGUAACAAAAACCUGUAAAAAUUAUUUUAAAGAAUUCAAUCAUUUAUAUUAUAAAUUUUGGUAUUUUUUAUAUGAAAAAGAUGUAUGUCUUUUAAGUCGUUGUUUUAUAACUUGAUUUAAUUUAUUUAUUACCUAAUAUUAUUCUUAGUUCUUAUAUCAAAAAGCUUAAAUUUUUUCAUGUUCUUUUGAAAGUGAUGACUAAAAUUUUCAUAAAUAUCAAAAUUAAUACCGCUUAAUUUUUUCCCUUUUUAAAUAACUAAAUAUAAGAUAAUUUAAAGUAAAGGUUUUUACUUUAUAAAAGCAGUUUAAAAGUAUUAUUUUUAUGAUUUAAUUAAAUCCAAUAAAAAGAAAAAAAAUUGAAUAAACAAGAAAAAAGAAAUACCAAUAUUAAAUGAGAUUUUUUUAUUUUUGGUUAUUUUAUUUCAAUUUUAAUAUUUUAUUAGUAAUUAAUGAUCAAUAUUAUUUUUUUGGUAAUCAUAUUUAGUUUUCAUUAUUUUAAAAAUUAAAUUUAUAUAUUUUUUGGUUUUUAUUUUCCUAAAAAAAUUUAACAUAUAAGGGAAUUUUUUUGUUUCUAGAAAAUCGAGGCUGGGGGGACACAUGGCCCCCUGAACCUUAGUCGGCUCCUCCGGUGACGACACGACUCAUUUUCUAGAAAAAAGUUACGUCCACUCCGUGGCCUGUCCAAGUUUUCCUUUUUUCCAUUAAAAAAUUGUGUGCUAUUAGAAGUCGAUAAGACUUGCAAAUUAACCCAAAACCACCAAGUGUCCAAGACACCAAAAGAUGGAGGGGCAUUUUGGUCAUUCUCCUUAGAAAUUUUCUUGAGCGGUUGGCAACUAUGACUUGGUCUCUGCGUGGUUGCGUGGUUGUAUGGAAAAUGAACCAUUAUAUAUAUAUAUAUAUAUAUAGCCUAGGUUUUGUGAGCAAAGGGUGUGCAUUGUAGCCAUGGCUAAAACUCUCCUCGUUUCACCUUUCUACUUCAUCUUCUUCAUCUUCCUCAUUUUUUCUUCUACCACAACUCCAGCUUUUGGAGAAGAAUACAGCUACGCCAAAAGUGUCAAUCCUAAAAAAAUGAAGAUGUUGAGGGAAAAGGUAAGUCAUUUUAAACUUUAUUGGCAGGAUGUUGUUAGCGGGUCUAAUGCAACCUCAGUCACAGUAAUUGAAGCAGUGAAUAACUCAUCAACAUCUUUUGGUAUGGUAAAUAUAUUUGAUAACUCGUUAACCAUUGGGCCAAAUUUGAGCUCAAAAACGGUUGGAAAGGCUCAAGGGCUUUACGCAUCUACGGGACAAGAAGAUACUUCAUUAUUGAUGAUUAUGAGUUUUGCAUUCACUGAUGGCAAGUACAAUGGUAGCACAUUCAUUGUGCUAGGACGGAACAAUAUAAAUGCUGAGGUAAGGGAGAUGCCAAUAAUCGGUGGCAGUGGACUUUUCCGAUUUGCUAGAGGCUAUGCUCUAGCAUCAACUUACAACGAUGGCGCCACCAUUGAAUACAAUUGUUAUGUCAUACAUUAUUGAUUUUUUUUUUUCUAAUUUUUAGUGGAGCUUUAGUUCACGAUAGUUAUAUACUUGAAUAAUUGUGUGUUCCCACCAUAGCUAAGUGAGAUUCUCUAGUUUUUCUUAAUUUGAAUAAAUUAGGUGGCUCUUACUUCACCUAGAUGAAUGUAAGCAUACUAUAAUAAAAUAAAAUAAAAUGCUUAUUUGUGUGGAUUAAUUACUUUCUUGAAAUUUGUUAAACCGUACAUUAUUCUAAAAAAAAAAAAUUGGAGAGAAGUAGAUUUAAAAGCUUAUAUCAACAAAGUUGAAGCGGUAUCACUUUUCUAUUCAACUUAAGCCCGUCUUUGUGGGUUGAUUUGAUAUGUUUGAUUUAUGACAUAUAUGACUUUUGAAUAUAAGGCUAAUUGGGUGAACUACCUUUGCUUUGUUUAAUAAGAAUGACAUAUUUCUUUGAUUUCACAUGACUUAAAUUAUCUUAACCAAACCAAAAUAUAUUCAACUUUCACUAAUUUUUAGUCAUAUAUUAUGAUAAUGAAGUGUGAACACGCUCAAAAAUUUGAGCAGCAUUCUCAUUUACAAAAAUGUUUUUAAGAAAUGUUUUGAUGAAAGUUAUAAAUUUUAUUUACCUUGACGUGAUACAUAAGUUGACUUUUUCUUUUAUUUCACUUAAGAUAUGAUUUAAUUGAACAUAUUUCAAAAGAAGAUAUGAUUCUUAAACAACAAUCUUUGCCCAUUAUUUACAAAUUCUACAAGGUCCAUAGCUAAGGUUUGAAUCAAAAUGGGCUAAAAAUUAAUGUCAUCUCAAUUUUGCUUCAUUUUUUAGACAAGCAAUCAUGACGGUGUUCAAUAAGUUCAUGUGUCUAUAACAAGCAAGCAACUAUAAUAGAAUAAGACCAUUUUUAUUUUUAUUUUUGCUAUUUGUAUGGUCCAAUAUGUUGCGCUCAUUACAAUUUGAGCCAUAGCCUAAUGGGCUUUUUACCCCAUGAUGUGGUUACCAAUUAAAAAUUGGACCUCAUUAGGGUUCACCAAGUAUAAAGCCCCUUUACCCUUGAAGAUUAAAUGGAGAUUAUUUGUCAUAGGUGAAAAGAGAGAGAGAGACUUAUAUUUAAACUUUUAAAUUGAAAGACCCUUGACCACUAAUUGUUAAUCUAAGUGAAUGAAAGAAAAAUCAAAUAACUCUCAUUUUGAGCAUUCAAGAGUAUCUUUUUUAGAAAAUUGAUAAAAUAAUAUGAUUAGAUAAUUUGGUUAGAAAAAAUAAUAUAUAUAUGAAAGGUUUGGUAUAUUGGUGCCAAACAAUACAUAAGAAAAUACUACAAUUAGAGAAAAAAGUUGGGAACAAUGCAUGUAUGUAUGUCACUAAUUUUUUAGUUAGGAAAACUUGUGUUUUGGGUCGGCCAUUUGCAAAUAAUAUGGUUUCCAAAACCCAAGAAUAGGAAAUCUAGGAAUCAGUUUGUUAAUAUGGAAAAUAAUAUUGUUUUGUGCACUCUAUGCUAACUUUUUUUUUUCUGUGCCCAAAUUGCCCUCACCCACUCUCCAUGUCAAUAGUCACAUUAACAAGUUGUUUCCAAAACAAAAAAAAUAAAAUACAAAAAAUACAAAAACAAAAAAUUAUGUUGUUUAAAAUUUUAGGGAAACUUCAUUUCUCUCAUUCACUUCCUUACCACACCCAAGACCCAUAUUCCCAAAACUUCUUCAUCUCAUUUUGCCCUAACCCCAAAUCUGAAAUAUCCCAACAUUUGAAAUCCGAAAACGAUUGAUUUUACAACAACUGAGGUUUUCCCUUCACCAUGAACCCCAAAUAGAAAACCCUAAUCUUGAAACCCAUAUUUUCUUUUUUCAUUAUCAAAGUUGAAUUUUUUUAAGGUUUCUAGAAACCAAACUGAAGUUUUCCCUUGUUUCAGAUGAAUCGAUCGCAAAUGAGUUUUCUGAGAAAAUAAAGGCUAGUAAGAAAAACACCUAAAAGGGGGGUGAAUUGGGUUUGUCAAAAACUUUUUCAACACAACUAAUUUAAGCACAAUAUAAGCAAAUAUAAAGAGAUAGAGUUAGAGAAUUCAAACUCAGAUUUUAUAGUGGUUCGACACUUUCUUACUUACGUCCACUUUCCUUAAGCUCCUAACCAAGUGAGAGUUCCACUAACUUGAAGCUUCAACCAAGUUUCUAAUCUUCUUUACACUUGGAUUCCGGCUCCAAUGGGUACUUACACAAUCUCUUCAAGAUUCAACACACUUGAAGACUCUAACACUCAAUUUACAAAAAUGAUUUUCUCUCAACCUAGAUCAAUAAUGACUCAAAUACAAAUCAAAGUUAAGAUGGCUCACAAGGGUGCACUAAAAGAUAUGCAAGUGAAGAUUUAAUGUACUAAGAAAUAAAUGAGAGCUUUUAAGGCAAGAACAAGUGGGUAGACAAUUGAAUGCAAGCGUUCUUUUCUACAUAAAUGAAGUGGAACUCUCAAUUUAUAGGUUUUUAAGCUCGGGAGCCAAGAAAAGCAAAAAGCAACCUUAACCGGUCGAGUUGGGGGUCAACCGGUUUACUAGCGAUUGUAACAUUUAAUACUUUGGCAGGUUACCGUUGCCUCGAUUGGACCUCGACUGGAGGUUGACCGGGAAAGAGGGUACCUCAACCGAGAAAGAAAGGCUAUUGGAUGAGAGAUAGUGUUUUUGACACUCCUCGACUGGACCUCAUCUGAUAAGGGCAACCGGUCGACCGAUUCCCUGGCCGAUUGAGUCGGUUGGUUUGUGUCUCGAUCAGUUCAGCCUUUUGGCCCCGAAAACCUAUCUUUUUCAGUUCUUUUCCUUUCUAACACUUAGGCAAGGUCUUUAGGUAAAUUAAUAUGUCAAUUUUGAAAUAUUUUGCCUCAGAUACAUUUGAUAAAACUCGGGUUUUAAUGAAAUUGUAACUUUAAAGAAUAAACUGAGUUUUCCAAAAAUGCAUAAAAAGAUAUGUAAAACCAUAGUGCACCCAUACAUUCAUCUUACAUUUGUUUCCUAUGAUUAAAAGUCUUCCAAAUGUCUCGAUCUUGUAUCCAUUUGGUCGUUUGAUGAAUUUCCAAAUUUAUACCUGAGAUUCUUUACAAUUCAAACCAAUUAGUCACUUAACCAUGGUUUGUUAUCAUCAAAAUUUGAUUAGGAGACCCCUUGGGCUAACAAUCUCCUAUUUUUUUAUGAUGACAAACCUUGGUUAUCUAGGAGAAGAAAAAAAUCUCUCCCUCAAACCAAUCAUGGAUCAAUCAAUCAAAAUUUACGAUGUUAAAACAAAGAUAAUGAAAACAUGCGAAUUUUCAAUAGGAAACGAUGUAAGUCGUGAAACAUAUAACAUAUCAUAUAUAUAGUAAAGUCAAAUGUACACGAAACAUAAACAUAUAAGCUAAUCCAAACAGAUGAUAUGACAAUGAUAUGCAUGAGUCUCCUAGAUACUAAAUAUCUCUCCCCCUUUUGGCAACAUAAAAAAGAAACGAAGGGAGAUCUCUAUGAAAUCAAGGUUGAGGAGGUGGAAGUGGAAACACGGAGUGUAGGUAAACCAUCAUCUACUCAUGUUGACUUUCCUGGUGACUCUCAAUAAGCUUUAUCCUCUGCUGGAGAUGUUUAAACACAGGUUGCUGCUGAUCUAUGCGAUUCUUCAUACGCUCAAAUCUCUGCUACAAAUACUCAAAAUGAAAUGUGAAGUCAGUCUUAUACUUAUCCAUGUGAUCCUCCAUAGAGUAGAAUCGAGUAUCACUAACUACUGCAAACUCCUCCAUGCGAGUGUCGAGAGAGCUAAUCUAAGCAGAUAAAUCCAUCCAAGGUGCAUGAUCAGGGGCGUGAGGUGCCUGAUGAGGUGAUGUCUCUGUGUAAGAAGGCUCAGUGAAAGAUGGCUGAGAAGAUGGUCCCGCUGUGUAAGCCAACUCAGAGAAUGUGGCUUCAAACUAAACACCCUCGGACUAGAGUGGAAGAAUGUCAAGCUCAGGCUCUCUCUACUCAAAGCCUCUCUAAGGGUCUAAUCCACCCUCCAUCUCUCGUAUCUCAGCCUCUUCCUCUACUCCAUGAUGCACAUGUCCCUGUCCCCAAGCCUGUGUUGGUGGUCUCUCUCCUAUCUUGAUCCAGGAACCAUCGGGGGCCUUCUCAAAUUUCAUUUGCCCCAAGGACUGCUCAUCAUAUGUGACGUAAAUGCUGGGAACCUCAAAAUUUGUCUCCCUGCUCAAAUCAACCCCAACAUCCUUGAACACUCUAGUGAGAAAGCGGUUAUAUGGGAGUACGCGGGUCAUGCUCUCACAACAUGAUAUCAUGUGCAUCAUCAUCAAACACCCCACGUGAAUCCAUCUCCCCGUCAAAAUGGAGUCCAUGAGGAAUGUGUCAAGGUAGGAGACCUCAUCUCGGUGUUUGCCUCAUGGCAGUAUGAUGAAGCAGAUCAUGUGGUGAAAUACUCAACUGAUCAUGGUCAGGCUAUGGGUCGAUGGUUUGCCCAUCCCCUGGGCGUCUGCAAGUCUGCAAAUCCUCUAAAUGGCCUUUCUAGGCUCGAAACCUGACACAGUGGGCCAAGCCUUGGACUCAGACACCCUGAGUUCAACUGGAGCAAUAUUGAAAAUGUGGCAGAUGUUCUCUGGGUCCAACUGAAUCUCAACUCCUCUAACGGUGGAAAUAAUCAGGUCACCAAGUCCAUAUGUAGCCCUCAAAUAGAACGCACGCACCAAAGUCGGGAAAAUAGGCUCUAAAAUCGUCACUACUGGCAGCCAACCCAUCCAACUGAAAAAGCUCUCAAACCCGAAAUGCUGUAGUUGGGAGAGAUUGAUGCUUCUCCCUGGAACUACUUUUCUCUUAGCGAACUUUUGCUUGUAACUCUGAUAAUCAUCCAUGGUGCUAAAAAGAGUAGUGUCAAACCUCGCCUUUCGGUAAACCUUCGUCUAAGCAAGCUGAGGCGACUCAAUUGGGUGUUUGCCCUGUGCCCUAAAGGCAGUCAAUUCUCUUUUAGGAGCCAUGAGAAGACGUGAGACACUGAAGAAAGAGCUAGUAAAGAGAGAAAUGAACACAAUCAAAAUCCCUAGGCGCGUGGAAAUGGAAAACAAGUCGAUUGUGACAUGCAGAAGCACUCCAAAGCCGAAACCCUAGCCUCCAAUUGUCCCAAAAAUCCAUUUCAAUGCCUGCAAUUGGUCCAAAAUCUUGCUCAAACUGGUCUCUGGAAGCAGAAAUGUGAAAAACCCUGAAGAAAUGAAGGAGAACAGUGGAGAAAACGAAGCGCGGAGGCUCUUUAAAUUCCCAACCCCGACGAACCGGCUGACCGGUCUUGGUUCAGUCAACCACCUGGUCAAUGGGUUUGACUUUUAACCUUUUGUGCAUUUUCUUGUCUCGUGGUCCUCCUCCUGCUCUUUUCAGUUGAAAUCCCCAAUUUUUUAUGCCCAAUGCCAAGGGAAUUUUGAUUUUUGGUUAAAAUUUUGACCAUUUAUCUAAGUAUAUGUUUAUAUGAUGCAAAUGACAUGAAAUUCAUGCAAUCAUAAGGAAUAUUCAUCAAGAAUUGAUUAAGCAAUCAUUAGAUCAUAAAGAAAUCACCCCUAGUUGUCUUCUAAUAUUAACAAAUUGUUCUUCACUUAGAGGUUUUGUAAAUAUAUCUAAAAGUUGAUAUUUUGUGCUUACAAAUUCAAGUGUUAUGCCAAUAUUUUGUGCAUGGUGUCUAAGAAAAUGAUAUUUAAACUCUAUAUGCUUAGUCUUAGAGUGUUGUACGGGAUUUUUUGAAAUAUUUAUGGCACUAGUGAUAUCACAUUUAAUAGGAACAUGCUCAAAAGAUAAAUCAAAAUCACUAAGUAUUUGAUGAAUUUCCAAAUUUAUACCUGAGAUUCUUUACAAUUCAAACUAAUUAGUCACUUAAUCAUGGUUUAUAUCAUCAAAAUCUGAUUAGGAGAACCCUUGGGCUAACAUUUUCCAUUUAAGGAUUUGUUUGGUUGUUGAUAAAGUCUUGGGGUCGAAGGUCUUUGUUUGAAGAAGACCCAAUUUUAGGGAUUGCAUGAGUUGGAAUUUCUUUUAUUUUGCUUCAUUUUCGCAUGAAUGAAAUAAAGGAUAAAUUUGUUUUGGUUAAAUAUAUGUUUGUAUUUGUAAAUAAAGUAGAAAAUUUUAUUUUCUUUCCAUGAUUUGUGUUAUCAUCAUAUUUGUAGGGAAAUUAGUUGAUCUAUAUUAUUGCUAGUUGAUGGAUUUUUUCUUUUAAUUUUAAUGGGAUAUAUGACAAUUAAUACUAGCAAAUAAAGAUAUGGGAAAGAUUCUAUGCUUGGUUGUUUUUAAUUGUAAUUGAUUUACUAAACUAGUUCAUGUUUGAUUUAAUAACAAAUUAAAUUAGUUCAUACUAUGUGAUGUAUUGUUGAUAACUUGUAUCUGCAUAUUUUGAUUCUUUGAUGGUUCGAUUUAUUGUUUGUAUGAAAUGUUCAAUGUUGCUUUAGUUUGUAGGAGGUGGAAUAAAAAUGUUUGAAAAAACUGACUAUAAGAAAUAGUGUAAAGGAUUUGCAUGAAUUGGUUGAGAGAAUGGAUAUGCAAAUGUGGAUUGCAUAUAUGUAUUAUGUUGGUGUGUAAGAGUCUUUGGUUAUUGUCUUGAACAAAGUAUGUUGUAUAUCACCUUAUUUAGUUACAUUUGCAUUCACUUACUGGUAUUUUAAUACACAUGUGUAAAAGAACAAAUAUAAAUUUAAUUAUGAAUGAACAUAAAUGUUAGCCCAAAGGUUCUCCUAAUCAAGUUUUGAUGAUAACAAAUCAUGAUUAAGUUACUAAUUGGUUUGAAUUAUAAAGAAUUUCAGGUAUUAAUUUGAAAUUUCAUCAAAUAACCUAAUGGAUGCAAGAUCAAGACUUUUGGAAGACCGUUAAUCAUAGGAAACAUAUGUAAGAUGAAUGCAUGGGUGCACUUAAGAUUUACAUAUCAUUUCAUGCAUCUUUGAAAAACUUAGUUUAUUCUUUAAAGUUACAGUUUCAUCAAAACCCUAGUUUUAUCAAAAGAAUCUUAGGCAAAUCACUUCAAAAUUGGAAUAUUAAUUUAUCUAAAGACCUUGCCUAAGUGUUAGAAGAGAAAAUACAAAAAAAAUAUAGGUUUUCGAGUCAAAAAUGGUGAACCGGUCAAGCCUCUGUCCAAACCGGCUCAAUCGGCCACGGUACCGGUCAGCCGGUUUCCUCUUCCUGAUCGAGGUCCGGUCGAGAGGAGCAAAAAACACUCUCUCUCUCUCUUCUAGUAGUCUUUCCUUCCCGGUCGAGGUCUAGUUGAGGGUAAUGGUCACCUGCCAAGUAUUAAAUGAUCCAACAACUAGUGAAUCGGUCGACUCCCAGCUCGACCGGUUGAGGUUGCUUUUUGGUUUUCUUGGUUCCCGAUAUUAGAAACCUAUAAAUAAAGAGCUUCACUUCAUUUAUGAGCAAGAGAACACCUACAUUUAUUUGCCCACCCACUUGUUCUUGCCUUAAAAGUUCUCAUUCUUUUCUUGGUGCAUUAAAUCUCCAUUUGCAUACUCUUUAGUGCACCUUUGUGAUUCAUCCUAACCUUGAGUUGUAUUUGAGCCUUUGUUAAGCUAGGUUGAAAGAUUCAUACUUGUUAAUUAAGUGUUAAAGCCUUCAAGUGAAUUGAAACUUAAAGAGAUUGUGUAAGAGCCUAUUGGAGCCAGAAUUCAAGUGUAAAGGUGAUUAGAAGCUUGGUUGAAGCUUCAAGUUAGUGGAACUCUUACUUGGUUAAGAGCUUGAGGAGAGUGAACGUAGGCAAGGAAGUGUUGAACCACUAUAAAAUCUGAGUUUGAUUUCUCUAACCUUAUCUCUUUAUUUUUGUUUCUCUUGUGCUUAAAUUUGUUGUGUUUAAAAAGAAUUUUUAAAAACUCAAUUCACCCCCUCUCUUGGAUGUUUUUCUCUUUUAAGAUUAGCCUUUAUCUUCUCAAUAAGUUAUAUAGAAAUGGUGACAGAUAUUUCAUAUUUGGAUGUGAUAUCAUAUUGGAAUUUGUUGUUAAGAAAAAUAAGAGCAUGUUUGAAAUGAAUGUGAUUUAGUGCUUUUUUUGUUUUGGGGAAAGUAUGUUUUGGAUUGGAGAUGUGAAUAUGAAUAGGAUUUCUGAAGCUAAGAUGGUCGAAAUUGAAGAAAAAUAUGCUUCGGUCGAAAGUUAUUACAUAUUGGGCAGUUAUUUGUUUUUGUAGGUUAGUCUUUUGUUAAUCUUAGGUUCUACCUUCAUUAAACUUUGGUACUACUUUUAUUAAAUGAUCGCUCAGAUUUUUUGUCGUUUGUUGGAUCAAAACAAAAUUUAUAACCUAAUUCACUCUUCUAUAGCAAUUUGUACCUGAUCAAAAAUUGGCUUUAGUACAAACUACUGUAGCAUAGUGGUUUUUAGGUAUCGUCCACAAGGAUGGAUUAUUCUUGGUGAUUAAGGCUUGAAUGAGAUGAUAAGAAGUGAUUGUGAAAAAGUGAAAUCAACUUGAAAUUGCAUGAUAAAAUUCCAAAUUAACAAUGUAUUCAAAUUGAAUUGAAAAUGAAGUUUAAAAGAGAAGAAAAUUUAUAAGAGGUGAGAUUCUCGGAGUUAGGAUUUUCUAGAGAGCAAUUUCCAUGGUGAAUGGGUGUUAAGAUCUAAUUUUCAUCAAGUUAGAUUGAAAACCUAAAUUUUCAUCUAAACCGAUUUUUGAUUUAACUUUAGAUCUAGAUCUAAUUUCUCUUCAAAUUAGGUAAUCUAAUCUAAGAGAUCAAUUUGAAUCAUAUAUUCAAUUCAUCUUAAAUUAUCUUCCAAUGAUUUCACACNNNNNNNNNNNNNNNNNNNNNNNNNNNNNNNNNNNNNNNNNNNNNNNNNNNNNNNNNNNNNNNNNNNNNNNNNNNNNNNNNNNNNNNNNNNNNNNNNNNNNNNNNNNNNNNNNNNNNNNNNNNNNNNNNNNNNNNNNNNNNNNNNNNNNNNNNNNNNNNNNNNNNNNNNNNNNNNNNNNNNNNNNNNNNNNGUCUUCCGGAUGCUUCUUCAUCAAGGAAUCUGGAGAGAAUGCCCUUUCGCACGAGCCCCAAGUGAUCCCGCAUGAUGGUGCGAAGUGAAGAAUCAAUCAGCUGGAAUUUCGUUCUUCUGGAGCGUUUCGCAUGACUGUGCGAAAAUUUCGCAUGGUCAUGCGAAAUCACUUCUUCACAAUUUCCUCAUAUGCUGCAGCCAUACUCUCUCUGUUUCAUUUCGCAUGAUUGUGCGAAAAUUUCGCAUGGUCAUGCGAAAUCGAAAAUCAUGCUAUUCCGGUUCUUCUUUGCAAAUUCUCUCAUUUGUUCAUGUUUAAUCCAUCUCCACCACCUUCAAUUAAGCUCCAAAGCUUGGUCCAAGUGCAUUUCCUCUUCCUCUUCAUCCACAUUAUGUAUCCUCCUCCGUUCCAUUUUCCAUUUGUCACUCCAUGCUUCAAAAAUCACCUUAAAAUAUCUCCAAAACUCAACAAAGAACCAUUAGAAUCUCUUGCAAGGGUAGCAAUGUAUUACUUGGGCAUAUUAGGCAUAAUUACUACUCAAAAGGUGUGAAACUCAUGAAAGUUAGUAUCUAAAAUAUGUGGUUUUUGAGUAGUAAUCAUUAAACUUAAGGACUACCUUUAUUUAACUUAGGUACUACCUUUAUUAAACUUAGGUACUAUCUUAAUGCACCUUAGAUACUACCUUAAUCUACUUUAGGUACUAUCUUAAUGCAACUUAGGUACUAUUUAAAUGCAAACCUUAGGUACCACUUGGAUGUACACCUUAGAUACUUCUUGGAUGUACACCUUAGGUACUCCCUUAAUGCAAACCUAAGCUAAUCUUAUCUACUAUCUUAAUUGAGCUUAGGUACUUCAUUCGUGGAGUAUAGGUACUUGAUUUGUGGAUCAUAUGUGCUUAAUUUGUUAACCUCGUGUAGUUCAUUUGUCAAUCUUAGGUACUACCCUUCUCAAUCAUAGGACCUAGUUUUGGCAUUGGUACUAGCUUGGAAUCCAUAGUUUGAAGACAAAUUGAGAAAUAUGGAACUUUCAAACUCAAUACACAAAUUGUUUAAUUGCAUUUUAUAUAUGAGCAUAACAUUAUUAUGUUGUACUAGGUUAGUGAGUUGGUUGGCCUUAAACGUGACAUUACUAUGAUGAAAUCUAUAGUUUAUAGGGUUGAUUUUCUUUUAAGGAUGAAUCAUGUAAAGGUGUGGUAUUAAAAAAAAUAUAGAUUUUUUAAAGAAUUUUCACAAAAUAAAUCAAGAAAUAUGCACUCAAAUAGUAAUGUUGUUAAAAUUCUAAAAGUGUCCCCUCAAGUAUUUUCUCUUCGACCAGCUAAUCCAUUUGUUUUGUUUUGCUUUGUUUUUCCUUUUUUAUUUUUAAACCUUCAUAUGAUAAGUGAAGAUAACUUCAUGAUGUUUAUCAAAUUGACACAUGGCUAAUUAAUAUGGCAUAUUAUUUUCCUUUUUUUUCUUCUUCUUCAUUUUACCUAUAAAAUAAUGCACAUUUUUUUAAUAUGUUAGUUACACAUUGUUAUAAAAUCUUUUUAAUUUCAUUUUUUUUUUCACUUUUUCAUCUUUUCAUAUUUAUUAAUUAUAAUUAUUUAUAAACACUUUAAAUAUAAAAUAAUAAUAAUAUAUGAUAAAUAAUUAAUGAAGAAAUUAAUAUAAAAAUAAAUACAAAAUGAACAAAUUUAGAGGUUUAGAAUAUAAGAUUUUAUAUAUUCAUGUUAAAUAAAAUACUUAUUUUUUUGAUAAAUCUUAUCAUAUAUAGAUUAAAAAAUAUCUUUGUCGUUUUAUUUUAUUGUUUAUCUUUUUUAAUUUUUAAAUUUUCAUGUGAAAAUAAAAAUCAAUUGUCAUGAUUUUUAACUUUUUGCUUAUGAUUCUUACUUAAUUGUAAUUUUAACUUUUUUUUUUCUUAGUUAAAAUGUUUAAUAUUUUUCAUUAAAGAAGAUAAACUUGAUUGUGAUUUUAACAUUUUGUUUUGUUAAAAUUUUUAAUUUUUAAUUUAUAAAAAAUAAAAAAAUUUAAAAGCUGUAUUUAAUCAUUUAUAUUAAUUUCUAUCAAUUCUAUAUAAAAUAAAAAUAUUUUUUUUAUAAAAAAUUAUAUUUAGUUAUUUAUAUUAAUUUUCUCUUAAUUUUAUUAAAAAUUAAAAUUUUUGCAUACUAAAAUUAUGUAUUAAUAAACACAACUUUUGAAAAAUAGAGUAUCAUUCUUUUAUAUACUUAUUUCAUACGGAGUGGUACUCUUUUUGUACCAUUUUUCUAAUAGUUGUGUUGACCAAUACAUAAUUUCAGUAAAAUAAAAUUAAUAUAAAUUAUUAUAUACAAUUUUUUAUAAAAAAAAAUAUUUUUUAUUUUUAAAUUUAUAUAAAUUAAAAAUUAAAAAUUUUAAUAAAACAAAAUGUUAUAACUACACCAAAUUUUUGUCUUUUUUAAUUAAAAGACAUUAAGCAUUUUAGUAAAGAAAAAAAAAUUAAAACCUAGAUGCUAAAUCUCUAUAUUUGUUCAUCAUAUAUUUAUUUUUAUAUUAAAUUUGUUCUCACUAAAUAUUUAUUACAUGUUAUUAUUUUAUUUUUAAAAUAUCAAUAAAUAAUUAAAAUCCUAAAUAUGAAAAAUGAGAUAAAAAUAAAAUAAAAUUGAAAUGACAUCCUAAUGCCAACACAUUUAAAAAACAAUCAAAUAAAAUGGAAGAUACAGAUAUUACAGAGGUAGGGAAAAAGAAAAAAAAAUGAUGUGGUAUGGCUGAUUCCCAAGCGUCAAAUUUUUUGUUUAAAACAAAACAAUAAUAAUGACAAGCUCUUUGAAUUGUUGCGUGUCAAACUAAAACUAAAAAAAUAAAAAAUAAAAAAACUUUCAUAAUUGGCGGCUCAUGAGGAUUUUCUGAAACUGAUAUUUUUUUUUUAAAUGGCACACGUGUAACAUGACUCUCCCUUUUAUAAUGCUUCUGUCUCUCUCUCUCUCUCUCUCUCUCUCUCUCUCUCUCUCAUUCUAUGAUGGAAUUUAUAGUCGGUUGAUUUUUUUAAUGCCCAUGAGCAGCUGAUUUUUGAGGUAAUUGAAUAUUAAUGGCUGUGAGACCCAUUCUCAUAUGGUCUCUCUCUCUCUCUCAUAUUCUAGAUAGAAUCUAUAGUCUAUAGGGUUGAUUUUUUUUAAUGGUUGUGGGUUGCUGAUUUUUGAAGGAAAGUGAUUAAAUAUUAAUGGUCGUGAGACAGUCCCAUUUGGUCUCUCUCUCCCGCUCUCUCUCUCACAUUCUAUGAUAGGAUCUAUAGUCUAUGGGGUUGAUUUUUUUAAUGCCCAUGAGGAGAUGAUUUUUUAUGGAAAGUAAUUGAAUAUUAACGAUUGUGAGACCAAUUCUCAUAUGGUCUGCCUCUCCCUCUCUCUCUCUCUCUCUCUCUCUCUCUCUCUCUCUCUCUCUCUCUCUCUCUCUCUCUCUCUCUCUCCCCCUAUGAUAGACUUUAUAGUCAGUAGGGUCGAUUUUUUUUUAAUUGCCCUGAGCAGCUGAUUUUUCUAGGAAAGUGACAGAAUAUUAAUGGUUGUGAGACCAUUCUCAUAUGUUCUCUCUCUAUUUCACCCCCUCUCUAUAGUCUAUAGGGUUGAUUAUUUAUUUAUUUUUUAUGCCCAUGAGCCAUCGGCAGCUGAUUUUUGAAGGAAAGUAGUUGAGUAGUAAUGGGUUGGGACUUGUGAGACCCAUAAAUGUAGAAAGGAAUUCAAAAUCCUAAUAAAAAUGUAUUUCAAUGAAUAAUGAGUUUUUAAUUCAUAUUCUCAUGUUUAAUAAUUAAUUCACAUAAAAAAAACAAAUUAAAAGUGAAAUAGAUUUUUUAAUUUCAUUUUUUUGCUUCAAUGUCUCAAAGAUAUAUAAAAUAUGAGGAUUAUUCUCAUAUAUUUGAAAGGUUUACAAAAUGAUUCUAAAAAAAUAAUUUUUUUAAAAAUAUUCAAAAACAAGAAACUUGAUAAUUCAAUUUAAUUGCUUAAUUUAAAUUAUUAAAUAUAUUUAAUAAAAUAAUUUAAUGUUAAAAUUAUUUUUAUUUUUUAAUAUUAAAUUAAAAUAAUUAACUAAUACAAUUUCAAAGCCUUUUUACCUCAUUUUCCUCUACCAAUGUAAAAUAAUUAACAUAUACAUCAGACCUACCUUGACUCACAAGUUUGCCUUUUAAGUCUCCUUAUUUCCUGAUUUUAUUUAUUUAUACUUUAAUCUCAUUCUUUCUACUUAUAUCUAAAAGGUCUAAAUUUUUCUUUAUACUUUUAAAAAUGAGGAUUAAAAUUUCCAUAAAUACUAAAAUUCAUACUUUUUUUUUCUUUUUUCAAAUAACUAAAUAUUAGAUAAUUGAAAGUAAAUUCUUUUGGUCAAAACUUAUGUCUCAUAUAAUAAGUCAUUACAACAACAAUUUAAAAGUAUUAUUUUUUAUGAUUUAAUCAAGUAGAAUAAAAAAUUAAGUAUAAAAAAGGGAAAAUGUUGAAUAAACAAGAAGAAAGAAAUACCAAUAUUAAAUGAGAUUUUUUUUAUUUUAGUUUAAUUUUAAUAUUUUAUUAGUAAUUAAUGGUCAAUUUUUUUAUUUUUUUUUUGUAAUAAUAUUUAGUUGUCAUUAUUUUGAAAAUUAAAUUUACAUUUUUUUAGAGGGGGCAAAUUUUCUAUUUUGGUUUCUACUUUCCUAAAAAAGGUUUCACAUAUAAGGGAACUUUUUUGUUUCUAGAAUAUUGAAGGGGGGGGGACACGUGACCCCCUGAGUUGGGACAGAACUCGUUUUCUAGAAAAAGUUGGGCCCAACUAUGCCGUCGUCUUUCAAUGUUUUUUCCUUCUUUCCAUUUAAAAAACAAUGCGUGCUAUUACAAGUCGAUAAGACUUGCAUUUUGGUCAUUCUCGUUAGAAAAUCCCCCCUUUGUGUUUUGUCUUUGAGUGGUUGGCAACUACGACUUGGUCUUUGCGCAGUUGGUAAGUAUGACGCCUUGGAAAUUAGAAAAAUAUUAUUGUACGGAAAAUGAAACAUUCAAUAUAUGUAUAUAUAGCCUAGGUGUUCUGAGCAAAUGUAGAUAACUCAGGUUUUGUGAGCAAAGGCAUAUCAUAACUCAAGUUUUGUGAGCAAAGGGUGUGCACUGUAGCCAUGGCUAAAGCUCUCCUCGUUUCACCUUCCUACUUCAUCUUCUUCAUCUUCCUCAUUUUCUCUUCUGCCACAGUUUCAAUUUUCGGAGAAGAAUACAGCUAUGUCAAAAGUAUCAAUCCUAAGAAAAUGAAUAUGUUGAAGGAAAAGGUAACACACUUUCAACUUUAUUGGCAAGAUGUUGUUAGUGGGUCUAAUGCAACAUCGGUUACAGUGCUUGAAGAAGUGAAUAACUCGUCAA